rnacentral:rRNA from 1 species
GACGGGCCCGCACAAGCAGCGGAGCGUGUGGUUUAAUUCGUAUGCUACACGAAGAACCUUACCUGGGUUUGACAUGUACGUAGUAGUGAACCGAAAGGGGAACGAGCCUUCGGGCAGCGUACACAGGUGCUGCAUGGCUGUCGUCAGCUCGUGCCGUGAGGUGUUGGGUUAAGUCCCGCAACGAGCGCAACCCUCAUCGCUAGUUACAUGUGUCUAGCGAGACUGCCAGGUUAACCCUGGAGGAAGGUGGGGAUGACGUCAAGUCAGCAUGGCCUUUAUGCCCAGGGCUACACACACGCUACAAUGGUCGGUACAAUGGGAUGCCAAGCCGUGAGGCGGAGCAAAUCCUCAAAGCCGGCCUCAGUUCGAAUUGGAGGCUGCAACUCGCCUCCAUGAAGUCGGAGUUGCUAGUAACCGCAGGUCAGCUAUACUGCGGUGAAUACGUUCCCGGGGCUU